UUCGCAGUUCGCACGACGCACGUUGUUGUUUGUUCCUUUGCAAAGUAUAAAUCGAGAAGUAUUUUGAAUGUAUAUUAAAUUUUACUGGACAUUAUGAUACAAGAUUGCCUGGAGAAGAUCGAGGAUAUUGUUUUAAAAGUGACUGGGAAUCUCAGUCAUCUCAGAGGUAAGGUUUUAAAAUUAUACGCGCAAACAGACGAAAGCUAUAUAUUUUGAAUUUCGAAUUUGCCGCGUAAACAGUGUACGUAUUUAACAGAAAUAUUCACAGUUUUGCUACUCAUUCCCACCAAAAAAAAUGAAUGAUUUAUAGAAAUAUGUUAUGCCGUGGUUAUACUAUAGGUACUAUGCCAUAUUAAGUGUGAUAUUGAUGUAAUGAUGUUGGCUAAACCAUGGUCAAAUACAUGAAUUUAUGUUAUAUAUUAAAAUAUGAACAUGAAACUGAUUGAAACAUCUGCCAUAACAGACUUACUCAAUCUUAGGAUUAUGAUGUACGGAAUCUUAGGAUCUACAUUAAUUUUGAUUAAGAAUUUGAAUGACAUAGCUGUUAUAUUGCCUUUUAAAUAAUUUUUAUAUGCAUCCUUUAUUAGAUGGUGGAUUAACAAGUGCCAAGUGGUGAUGUUUAUAAGUCUAAGUCAUCUAAGUCUGUAAUGAACGAGCAGGAAAGUAUGGUGCCAAGGUCUUUCAUUUGAUGAAAAAUAUCAACUUGAUAUUAGUCAGUGAAACAAGAAAAGAAGCCAUUUGACUUGGUUUAAGGAAAUAAGGAACAUGGAUUAAUUGAGGUAGUACUAGUGUGCGAGAAACUCAGUGGAUGAGUGGAAAGUCUCCUCUGUUAAUGGUUAAUUGGAUUCACAGUGUUGCAGAACUUAAUUUUCCAGGACAAAAAUACUCCAGGUGAUCUUAUAAAUAUGCUCAUAUUUGGGAGGACAUAUACCAACUUUACAAACAACUAGUCAGUAAUCAAAGAGGAACAUUGCUCAGGAGUUAAUUACUUUAGCUUA